UAACAGCAAGAGAGAUAAUUCAGUCAGAACCUGCAGCUGAGGUGGAAAAAUUGGUCUGUUUUCGAAUGGAAACUUACAAAAUGAAGAUGAAAGAGAAUCAGAGUUCCUGUGAUUGAGUUUUAGAACUGGAACAUUUGCAAGAUCUUUGCUUCAUCACCAGAAGUUCCAGUUAGUUCUUGUGGCGAUGACUGGGACAGCCUCAAAGAGAGGAUUGUGAGGUGGGAGGGGAGCUGAGGUGGCAGUUUGCAGCAGCAGUGAUUUGAGAGAUUGCUGAUGGCCUUCUUCCUCCCAGCUGGAAGAAGCAGGAUGAAAGGUGUAAGGACUUGUGCCACUCUGCAUAAUAAAGAGAGAUCUCCUGAAGUCUAGUGCCUGGUUAUUUCCCUCUGCUGCCCAAGAUGGACCUGCUCCAAUGGAGAAAUGCUGCAUAAUUGGUUUUGCAACAUUCCUGCAUUCCCUGUUGUCAGGACAUGAUGCUGUCCUGUGUUCUAGGAGGAUGAUGGCUCAGCUGACAAUCCUGUUGUCACAAAUGCAUAAGUAGUUCAGCAAGAAAUGUAACAAAGGCUCUCUGAUAUCACAGAAACAAUAAGCAGCAGGGACAAUACAACAUCUUGGGAAGAAAUGUCUUCUGUUGUUGAGGCAGACAUCACCUGGGGGAUUAAAGAAAGUUAUAAAUAGAGAAAUGCCUUUUAAAUAGAUUUUCUGUGUUGCUGCUGCAGGUCUUUGAAGAAUGAAGAUCAUUGACUGAUGUGUUUUAUUAAUGCUCCUUGGUGUUUCAGAGAAACAUCUGUGUUAUGAUUUGACCAAAACUUCAUACAGAUUUUGAUUGCUUGAUAUGAAAGAGAGUUUUAUCAGCACAAAUGGUGAUACUUACUCUAUUCCCAGCACAGUAGCCUCUGGUUUGUGAUGGCUUUGGGCUGGAGUGCUGCCAUUCUUCUGAUACUUGGUACCUGCAUUUUCUGCUGGGCAAUCAAAGUGCUGCAUUUCAGUUGCUAACAGGUUUAGCUGAAGAAAGCCCCACCUUUAAUUUUCUGUUGUACUCCUGCACUGAAGUUUACUGUCUCAGUUUCAGGUCUGACUCAUUAUGCUAUGCCUCUUGAACCCAGUUUUAUGACCCAAAGAGAGAAAUGCAUGUACUGCUCCAUUUGCCUCUGCUGUUGGACAGUAACUUCUGGCAGUGGUGAACCUGUAACCACCUAAGCUAGCACAGCAACAUCAGCAAGUGGCCUGUGAGCUGAAGCUCUUUGUUACUCAGUCUCUUCAUCAGCAUGUGCUAAUGAAAAGAUGCAAUUCCACAAGCAGUGGGACUACUCAGUCUUGAUCCAGGUUUUUUUAAUCUCUUUGUUGACUCUGAGAUCAAACCAGUGCUGUGUUACCUUUCCAGUCUUGUAGACAGAUUCCCACCUUUCUGUAGCUGCUGUAUUUUGGGAGACAAAGAAAGUGUCUAAUGCCAGGGCAAAGCUGAAGGAACUGGGGAAAAUGUAGUGAAAGCUUGUUUCUUUUAAGAAAGUUACACAACCUUGUGUACAAACAGAGAACAGAUUUCUUUGCUAUCCUCCAUAGAGGAAACACCUUUUUGUUUCCAGUCUUUAUCCACAGUUUGUCAAUUUCACCACUUAAAAUGUACAAACUAUGUGGAAUAUUUUGUUUGGGACAUUCUGUCUAGUAAUGUAAGGAAAAAAAAUUACAUUUAGAUAUAUUUGAUGGAGCAUUGGUUUUUAUUUUCUCUAAAGGGUAUUUGAAUUCUCAAUCAAAACAAAAAGUUAUAAAGCACUUUUUACUUAAUUUCCUGUGGAAGUGUGUUAGGGAAGUGAUGGAGUAGGCAGGUUGAAAACUCCUAAGUCACAGUGGAUUAAUACAGUUAGUAAUAUGAGCAUCGUUAAUUAGACUUUAAUUAAAUUGUAACUUGUUUGUCCUGAUCUGCUUGAUUAGUGGAAAACUUCUCUUACCCAGAGGAACUCCCUUGGGAUCUCACUUUCAGUCUCGGACCAAAUCAUCCUAUGAGUAUUGUGCCCCCCUUCCUAUGGGGAUUCUGGCUGUGAAAUAAAUUGUUUCCCUUGCUUAACCACUGAAGUAAAAGUAAAACUGAAAAGAAAUGCUUUGGAAACCAUGGUUAUAUGGUAUUAUGUGCCCUGGAGGAUCAGCAGUUGCAACAAGUUUAGCUGCUCUCCUGGAAGUCUGAAAUCCUGCUCCAGAGCUGCAGUGCUGGGAUGUUGCAAUGUGCCUGUAUAUAUCUGUAUAAAUCACAUAUCUGUAUUUGAAGCAAAAACAAAGGCAGCAUCUGGGUGAUUAUGUACCUGGGCCAGUAUUAAAAUCUGGAGUUGGAUUAAAAUUUAAUUAACUAAACCAUUGGAGAUCAUUUGAAUACCCUCUCCUCCUAAUUUUAUGGGAGCAGUUUUAGCUAGACCCUUUUCUGUGCUAAUGAGUUUUCCCUACAAAAGGUGUGUAGCUAAAUUUCUCUGUGGGUCAGUAAGAUUUUACUGGCCAGUGGAGUGCUGGGUAGUUCUUGUAAUCACAAGUACAAGCAGAAUUUGCUCAGUAUAAAAUACAUUCCAAAAACCCCCAACUUUCUAUCCUUAAAUUUCAGGUUACUAAAUGUCUAUGAAAAUUGUGAUCCAGUACAACUCAGGGAAGUACCAAAAAUGCUAUAGUACAUUUAUUUUCUGCUGCUAUGUUUUAAAAUUUUAUUUCAGCUUCAAUAAAAUACUGUUGUGUAUUUCA